CUCUACAGCCAUACUACUCUGAAUGCUCCUGACCUCAUCUGAUCUUGGAGGCUAAGUAGAGUCGGGCCUGGUUAAUACUUGGACAGGAGAAAAGAUCUAAACCCAUGUAAUCAUGUUGAAC
ensembl:rRNA 5S_rRNA 5S ribosomal RNA